rnacentral:rRNA from 1 species
UACGUAGGGGGCAAGCGUUGUCCGGAAUUAUUGGGCGUAAAGCGCGCGCAGGCGGUCAUUUAAGUCUGGUGUUUAAUCCUGGGGCUCAACCCUAGGUCGCACUGGAAACUGGGUGACUUGAGUACAGCAGAGGAAAGUGGAAUUCCACGUGUAGCGGUGAAAUGCGUAGAGAUGUGGAGGAACACCAGUGGCGAAGGCGACUACCUGGCCCACUCUUGACGCUGAGGCGCGAAAGCUAGGGGAGCAAACGGG